rnacentral:sRNA from 1 species
GCUGGGUGUGGUGGUGCACACCUGUCACCCCAGCAGCUGGGGAGGCUGAGGCAGGAGGAUCGAGAUCACGAGGUCAAAGCCAGCCUCAGCAACGGUGAGGUGCUAAGCAACUCAGUGAGACCCUGUCUCUA